rnacentral:piRNA from 1 species
UAAAAACGUCCGGAUCUGUUUCUCAGAGA